CUACUAAGGAGGCAAGAGGUGGCCAGGAGUCUGUCAGCGAGUUCUGCAUGUCCUGGUGACCCUCCACCUGUUUCACAGUGUCACAGGGGAACUCGAGCCUAUCCCAGCUAUCUUAGGGCGAGAAGCAGGGUACACCCUCCACAGGUCGUUGGACUGUGGCAGGAAGCCGGAGUACAAGGAAAGAACCCACGCAAAAACAGGAAAAACAUGCAAACUCCACA